CAACGCCGCGUGAGUGAUGAAGGUUUUCGGAUCGUAAAACUCUGUUGUCAGGGAAGAACAAGUACCGGAGUAACUGCCGGUACCUUGACGGUACCUGACCAGAAAGCCACGGCUAACUACGUGCCAGCAGCCGCGGUAAUACGUAGGUGGCAAGCGUUGUCCGGAAUUAUUGGGCGUAAAGCGCGCGCAGGCGGUUCCUUAAGUCUGAUGUGAAAGCCCCCGGCUCAACCGGGGAGGGUCAUUGGAAACUGGGGAACUUGAGUGCAGAAGAGAAGAGUGGAAUUCCACGUGUAGCGGUGAAAUGCGUAGAGAUGUGGAGGAACACCAGUGGCGAAGGCGACUCUUUGGUCUGUAACUGACGCUGAGGCGCGAAAGCGUGGGGAGCAAACAGGAUUAGAUUCCCUGGUAGUCCACGCCGUAAACGAUGAGUGCUAAGUGUUAGAGGGUUUCCGCCCUUUAGUGCUGCAGCAAACGCAUUAAGCACUCCGCCUGGGGAGUACGGCCGCAAGGCUG
rnacentral:rRNA from 1 species